AGCGAACGCUGGCGGCAGGCCUAACACAUGCAAGUCGAACGGAUCCUUCGGGAUUAGUGGCGGACGGGUGAGUAACACGUGGGAACGUGCCUUUUGGUUCGGAACAACUCAGGGAAACUUGAGCUAAUACCGAAUGUGCCCUUCGGGGAAAAUUAUCGCCAUUAGAGCGGCCCGCGUCUGAUUAGCUUGUUGGUGAGGUAAAGGCUCACCAAAGCUACGAUCAGUAGCUGGUCUGAGAGGAUGAUCAGCCACAUUGGGACUGAGACACGGCCCAAACUCCUACGGGAGGCAGCAGUGGGGAAUCUUGCGCAAUGGGCGAAAGCCUGACGCAGCCAUGCCGCGUGAAUGAUGAAGGUCUUAGGAUUGUAAAAAUUCUUUCACCGGGGACGAUAAUGACGGUACCCGGAGAAGAAG
rnacentral:rRNA from 1 species